GGAUGGAGAGGUUACCUUCUAUAGUUUGAGGGUGAGGUAUGAAUGGAAUGAAAAGGAAGGGCGGAAGGAGAAGGGGUGCCCUUUUCUUUGAAUUCCUCUUACCUUCAUAAUCAUAAGUUUAUUUUUCACUUCCUAAACCUUUUGAUACAGUCUGUAAUCUUAAGUGUAUCUUUAUUCUGGUACUUGACAGAUUUUAUAAUUUUCCUGUCUGGCCUUUAUUUGUCAACUGCACAUCUUUCUUCCACUACCAAGGUUACUCCAGAGAUGGAAGGAUGCAUGCCCAAUAAUCAAUGCAAAAUAUUGCCACUUUCUAAUGGAUAUAAACUUCACCACAUGGCAUUUAUGUUUGUGUCAAUGUUCCACAUGCCCUGCUUAAUUAUCUUAUCCUGACAAGCUACUCAUUUCUCCCCUCUCAAGUUCACCUUAUCUUUAGAUGUUGAACUUCUACUUCUCAGCUUAUUGGCCCCAUUCACUUUUUGGAAGCCAUUGUUAUAACUUCCCAGUUCCCAGACAUGCAUUCAAAUCU
rnacentral:misc_RNA from 1 species